AAUCAACGCUGGCGGCGUGCCUCAGACAUGCAAGUCGAACGCGAAAGUUCCCUUCGGGGGAUAAGUAGAGUGGCGUCCGGGUGAGUAACACGUAGGUAAUCUACCUUUGGGUGGGGAAUAACAACCGGAAACGGUUGCUAAUACCGCAUAAUGCAGCGGCACCACAUGGUGACAGUUGUUAAAGCGGGGGAUCGCAAGACCUCGCGCCUAAAGAGGAGCCUGCGGCGGAUUAGCUAGUUGGAGGGUAACGGCCUACCAAGGCAACGAUCCGUAGCCGGCCUGAGAGGGCGGUCGGCCACACUGACACUGAAAUACGGGUCAGACUCCUACGGGAGGCAGCAGUCGGGAAUUUUGGGCAAUGGGCGAAAGCCUGACCCAGCAACGCCGCGUGAAGGAUGAAAUCCCUCGGGAUGUAAACUUCGCAAGAACAGGAAGAAUAAGUAGGGGACAAUACCCCCUAUGAUGACGUACUGUUUGUAAGCUCCGGCUAACUCCGUGCCAGCCGCCGCCGUAA
rnacentral:rRNA from 1 species